CCUACGGGAGGCAGCAGUGAGGAAUAUUGGUCAAUGGCCGGAAGGCUGAACCAGCCAAGCAGCGUGAGGGAAGACUGUCCUAAGGGUUGUAAACCUCUUUUAUGCGGGGAGAAAGGCGUCCACGUGUCGAUGAAUGAAGGUACCGCAGGAAUAAGGAUCGGCUAAUUCCGUGCCAGCAGCCGCGGUAAUACGGAAGGUCCGGGCGUUAUCCGGAUUUAUUGGGUUUAAAGGGAGCGUCGGCGGGUCCAUAAGCGUGCCGUGAAAUUUUGUGGCUCAACUAUGGGAGUGCGGUGCGAACUGGGGUCCUUGAGUGCGCGGGAAGCAGGUGGAAUUCGUGGUGUAGGGGUGAAAUGCAUAGAUAUCACGAAGAACCCCGAUUGCGAAGGCAGCCUACCGGAGCUUAACUGACGCUGAGGCACGAAAGCGCGGGUAUCGAACAGGAUUAGAUACCCGAGUAGUC
rnacentral:rRNA from 1 species